CUCCACCACUGUGAGUAAUAAUAAAUAAUGCAUGUCAACACUGCAUUUGCAUAACAUUACAUUUUUAUAUAUUUACAUAUUGUAUUUUCUCAUAUAUAUUAUGUUAUGAUCACUAUAAUUAUACUUAUGCAUAAUUGUGCAUUUGGAUGAAAUUGGUGUAUUAUGAUAAAUGAAUUGUUUGAUUAUUUGUGCUGUGUAUAUACUGUGCUCUGUUUGUGUGGAGUUGGGAUGAAGUGGGUCACCAUGGGUUUGUGAGGACGGUCGAUAAAUAUGGAUCCUGAUGAACUGAUGAAAUUGGACCGUCGGCCGGGUAAAUGGGAGAUCGGCGCCCCCGUGUGCACCUGAUGAAUUGAUGAAAUGAUGUUGAUGAGAUGGAAAAGAAAAGAGAGAAUGUAAAAAAAUAAAAUAUUGAGAGGACUGGUCAAGUGAGGAUUAGACCGGUCGGCCAGAUAUGGGGGAUUGGCUCCCCGGGUGCACAUGUUUGAGAGGAUGGGCUGUUUGAGAGGACGGCUCGUCGGGGGGUUUAGGUGACACCACUGACUAAUUUCCACGUGAUGUGAUUAUUUGAAGGUGAUAUUGUUUGUGGGUGCUGAUGUAAUGUCAUAUGAUUGACUGUUGUGUGUUCAUUCAGUANNNN
rnacentral:lncRNA from 1 species